rnacentral:rRNA from 1 species
GUCGAGCGAGGACUUCGGUCCUAGCGGCGGACGGGUGAGUAACGCGUGGGAACGUGCCCUUUGCUACGGAAUAGCCCUGGGAAACUGGGAGUAAUACCGUAUGUGCCCUUUGGGGGAAAGAUUUAUCGGCAAAGGAUCGGCCCGCGUUGGAUUAGGUAGUUGGUGGGGUAAUGGCCUACCAAGCCGACGAUCCAUAGCUGGUUUGAGAGGAUGAUCAGCCACACUGGGACUGAGACACGGCCCAGACUCCUACGGGAGGCAGCAGUGGGGAAUCUUAGACAAUGGGCGCAAGCCUGAUCUAGCCAUGCCGCGUGAGCGAUGAAGGCCUUAGGGUUGUAAAGCUCUUUCAGCGAGGAAGAUAAUGACUGUACUCGCAGAAGAAGCCCCGGCUAACUCCGUGCCAGCAGCCGCGGUAAUACGGAGGGGGCUAGCGUUGUUCGGAAUUACUGGGCGUAAAGCGCACGUAGGCGGACUGGAAAGUCAGGGGUGAAAUCCCGGGGCUCAACCCCGGAACUGCCUUUGAAACUCCCAGUCUUGAGGUCGAGAGAGGUGAGUGGAAUUCCGAGUGUAGAGGUGAAAUUCGUAGAUAUUCGGAGGAACACCAG